GUUUUGUGGAGGCAUUCUUAGCCAUGUAGGACUGUGUGACGGUGCUCUUAAGAAACAACAAGGAGCUGCCUCCAUGGAAUUCAGAUGUAAACUUUUCUGGCACAAGACUUAAAGGGCAUAAAACUUGCCUCUUUGUGAAACUACGUACACUUACCCACUCUGAGAACAUUUAGAGACGUACCAUAUACUCUACCGAAGACCAUAUUUUUUCUGUCGAGAUCAUCUCCUCCUUGUGAAUCAGAACGGGAAAGCAAAGAAGCUCUUGGAAGCUCAAGGAAGAACAUCUUGCCCUUAGUUUCUUGAAAAGAAUAAACAGCCACCCCACUGAGCUGAAGAAUGCACAGACGCAUUAUGGGGCUGGGGGUAUCAGCCUGUGAUACAGAGGGGAAACAAGAGGAAGACAGAACAUGGUGCUGGCAUCUAAACAUCCUGUACCUUACCUUGUGACUCACUGAAAGUUGCCUUGAUCUCUGUUGCAGAAGCUGCUUCCAAGGAUGAAACCCUCUGAUUUAGAAGGGAAAUUCAGAAGGAUUUUUAAUAGUGAAGAAAACAGGAAGGGAUGACACGGGAGAUGGACUUCGUCUUUUUCACUGAAUAUUGACAAAGGGCUGAAUUUCCUCACAAGACUGGUAAUGAGUACAGUAUGUGAAGUAAAUACAAUAAAAUACCAAGUUUUAU
rnacentral:lncRNA from 1 species